GAGUUUGAUCGUGGCUCAGAAUGAACGCUGGCGGCAUGCCUAACACAUGCAAGUCGAACGAAGGCUUCGGCCUUAGUGGCGCACGGGUGCGUAACGCGUGGGAAUCUGCCCUUGGGUUCGGAAUAACAGUUAGAUAUGACUGCUAAUACCGGAUGAUGUCGUAAGACCAAAGAUUUAUCGCCCAAGGAUGAGCCCGCGUAGGAUUAGCUAGUUGGUGGGGUAAAGGCCCACCAAGGCGACGAUCCUUAGCUGGUCUGAGAGGAUGAUCAGCCACACUGGGACUGAGACACGGCCCAGACUCCUACGGGAGGCAGCAGUGGGGAAUAUUGGACAAUGGGCGAAAGCCUGAUCCAGCAAUGCCGCGUGAGUGAUGAAGGCCUUAGGGUUGUAAAGCUCUUUUACCCGGAUGAUAAUGACAGUACCGGAGAAUAAGCUCGGCUAACUUCGUGCAGCCGCCGCCGUAAC
rnacentral:rRNA from 1 species